ensembl:lincRNA
GGGGUCUCAGGCAUUGAUGAAGAAUGGGUGUCUGCUCCCUGUCCCAUCUGUUUGCCAAUGUCGUGACCUGAUGUUAAUAGUCUCUUCCAGGAUUUGGUCUUUGCCUGUUGGAUGGCCAGGAAAUAACAGCUUUGCAGAGGCUGCUCAAGGUGCCCUCAGAGGGGAAGAUCUGCUGAAGACAGGGAGAGGUCCUUGCAGUCCCUUGGCAAAGCAGGUGCUACCUCUGUGGCUCUGGAGAGCAGAGAAUUCACUGAAGGACAUGAGAUGCCCAGUGGCUCCCCCAUGCCAACCUACCACAAUGCUCCCAACUCAAGAGAAAAGAGGUGAGCAGACACCAGAUUCAAAACAGUUCUAGAUUUAAAGACAGAAGCUGUAGGUUUGCAAUCUCAGUUUGCACCCGUGACCAUGUCAUUCAGCUGCUUUGAGUGCAGGGCUCUUGCCUGUGGAAAGAGGAUGGGGAACCCUGCCCCAUGGUCCCUUAGGGUGGCUGUGAGUCUCCGGUGAGUCUAGCAGCCAGAGGAGGGCAUCUGAAAGAACACUUUAGAACCAGACAGAUACAGGUUCACAUCUUGUCUCCGACAUUUCCUUAACUCGACCUUGAGAAGUAAACUAACCUCUCUGAGCCUAUGUAUUCCCAUCAGCAAAAUGGAGAUUAAAAAUGUUUCAAUUUUAUUUAAUUAAAUAAUGUAACAUAUAAAUUACCCAUUAAUUUACUGGCAUAUAGAAUGUGCUUAUAAACGUCUGUUUCCUCCAUUCUAUCUACCCUGAUACUUCCCAGGACAGUGAGGGAAAAUAGAGACGAGUAUAGGUAGAAAGAUGGGAGGGAAAUAGAUUUGAAGCACAGAGCAUUUUUCUUUGGUUAACCAAUGCAGAGGGUUACUAGAGUAUUAAUUUAAUCCAAUAUACAAAUUUUACUGCCACAGACAAUAAGCACAGAUAGAGAAUGAAGAGCUGUAAUAUUCAAAGAUUCAUACUACAAAUUGACACGAAAAACACAAACCAUCCAAUAAAAAAUAGGAAAAAGUAUAAAAUAAAGCAAUCCAAAUGAGCAAUAAACAUAGUAAAAGAUACUUAAAUUCAUUAGAAGUCAGGGAAAUAAAAAUUAAUAUAAAUUUCAUGUAAUUAAUGAGACAUUAUUUUACCUUCAUCCAGCUGGCAUAUCUAAAAAGAGCAUUAACACUUAUUGCUGGUAAGUGUUCCAUGAAAAGAAUGUUUGCAUAUAUUGCUGAUGGAAAUGCAAAUUGUCACAGCAUUUGUAUAAAUCAAUAGGGCAACAUCUAUUAAAAUUGUAAAACAUAUUACUAUGGUUUGGCUCUGUGUUUCCACCCAAAUCUCAUUUUAAAUUUUAAUUCCCAUGUUUCAGGGGAGGGACCUGGUGGGUGGUGAUUGGAUCAUGGGGCCGGAUUUCCCCCACGCUGUUCUCAUGAUAGUGAGUUCUCACAAGAUCUGCUGAUUUAUAAGUGUGUGGCCCUUCCCCUUCACUCUCUCACUCUUCCUCCUGCUCUGCCAUGUGAUGAAGGUGCCUUGCUUCCCCUUCAACUUUCACCAAGAUUGUAAGUUUCCUGAGGCCUCCCAGUCAUGCUUCCUAUUA